rnacentral:misc_RNA from 1 species
CCAUAUUUUCUCCAUGCAUGGCCGUCAUCCACUAGUUCAGGACUGUUUUUUAUCCAUGAGUGGGAAGUCCUUCUCCUCUUAUAGCAUCCUCUCCGAUCCUUCCUCGUGGAAGUACUUUUGCUACUCUCGCCGGAAUCUUCAGAUUUCCGGCCAUCCCAACAAGGCGAACCUAAGUGAGUACUGGCCGGAAAUUGUGAGACCUCAUCAGUCUCAGCUCUAUUCAAUAUAGAAAGAGUACUCGUGAAAGAAUUCAAGAUCUUCACGACAAGAUCUUCAGCAGGCAUAGAUCCAUCUUCUCCAAUGGAAUCACAAAGGACAGCUUUAAGCUGGUUAGCAAAUUCGCGACCUUUCAUCAGCUCAUCGAUCGCCUUUUUCCGAUCGGAAGGCAAGUGUUCCGGCCAACAGGACUCCAUUUUCGGCGAAUCUCCGAUGCUC